GUCCACAGCCACACCACCCUGAACUUGCCCUAUUUCCUCUGAUCUUGGAAGCUAAGCGGGAUCGGAUCUGCUUAGCUUAUCUUUGACUGGGAGACCACCUUGAAACACCGGGUGCUACAGGCU
ensembl:rRNA 5S_rRNA 5S ribosomal RNA